rnacentral:rRNA from 1 species
ACUGAACGCUGGCGGCAGGCUUAACACAUGCAAGUCGAGCGGGGGAAGGUAGCUUGCUACUGGACCUAGCGGCGGACGGGUGAGUAAUGCUUAGGAAUCUGCCUAUUAGUGGGGGACAACAUCUCGAAAGGGAUGCUAAUACCGCAUACGUCCUACGGGAGAAAGCAGGGGAUCUUCGGACCUUGCGCUAAUAGAUGAGCCUAAGUCGGAUUAGCUAGUUGGUGGGGUAAAGGCCUACCAAGGCGACGAUCUGUAGCGGGUCUGAGAGGAUGAUCCGCCACACUGGGACUGGAACACGGCCCAGACUCCUACGGGAGGCAGCAGUGGGGAAUGUUGGACAAUGGGGGGAACCCUGAUCCAGCCAUGCCGCGUGUGUGAAGAAGGCCUUAUGGUUGUAAAGCACUUUAAGCGAGGAGGAGGCUACUUUAGUUAAUACCUAGAGAUAGUGGACGUUACUCGCAGAAUAAGCACCGGCUAACUCUGUGCCAGCCGCCGCCGUAA